AAAAUGCGAUAAGUAGCGUGAAUUGCAGACGCUUUGAACGUUAAACUUUCGAACGCACAUUGCGCCAUAGGAGUCUUACCCUAUGGCACAUCUGGUUGAGGGUCGUGAUCAAACACAGCUAGACUUGGGCUGUAAUAAUGCAAAUUGGCAAAUUAUUAGGCCGACAUACGACUUAUUGUCGGUAAUAUUUUGUCAUAAUGUUUAAGAGGGCACCACUAUAUGGUGCUUCCUUACCAUGCGGACGGGCAAGCCAUUCGACUGAUAAUGGGCCGGCCUCCAGGUAUCAUAAACGCCUUGUGUGUAUACUUGGUUGGUUCGGACCGUCGUUUGAUUUGUACCGUACGUACUUGGUAGAUGAUAAAUAAUGAUCGCUUUCCCGACCUCAACUCAGGUGUGAUUA
rnacentral:misc_RNA from 1 species